GGGCAGGAGGUAGCACUAAGUGUCACAAUGCUACUAUACUGAUUUUUACAGAGACAGGAGCUAGCACUUAGAACACCGAAAGAUGCUCAACUACCUUUUCCCAUCUGUGUUGAAGAAAACCCAUUUUUCAUAUUUGUACAGAUCUGCGCCAACAACACAAAAUGCAUAAUCAGCCAGCAUAAUAUCUGAAAGUCAUGUCAGCAAAUCAUUUAAAAAAUUUUAGGAGCUACUGCGAAGAGUGCUCUGAUGUUUUCAGAUCUCGUUGAAUACUUCAGAAGUUUGGCUGGCAUUCACCGGGCAAAUAUCGAUCCUACUGGUUGUGACUGAUUUGGUCAAAUCUCAAAAACUUAGGCCGAAAACCAGCCUACUGGUCUUACCAGCCCCUCCGGUAUUCUUACAAGAUUUGAGUCCUUGUCAAGACAAAUAUGGGUAUUUAUUCUUCUUAAUACAAAGCCAGUUAGUCCCUCAUAGGUUGGUCGAUUUCUUCAUUUGUUUUUUCAUUUUACUAUAACAAGACUGGUAUACCAAAUUCUUUAAUAACUUUGUCAUAAUGUGGAUAGAAAUUCCUUCACAAUUUUUAGAUUUCCUUUCCUCAAUGCAGUAAAUGCUGGUGGUAGAAAAUAUCAAUAUAUAUAUUUUAUUUUACCCUAACUGAGGACAUGAGGCAUUAAUGUUGUGUGCAUCUAGACUUCAGACUGUUUUCAACCAACAAGCUCCUUAGGUGAAAUUACGAAUGUCAUUGCAUUUUCUAUAUUUUCAUUGUGGUAUUUAUGCUUACUCCUUGUUUAGUGAUUGUGCCCGUUUUGAAAAUUGUAAAAAGAAUGUAUUAGUUUGUGGUAUUCUUUUUGACUAACUUACACAGUUAUGCAGCUAAUGUGAAAUUUUCUGAUGCUCCGAUAGUUUUGCAGCUCAUAUCUUUGGAAGAUUUGUGUGCAAGCAGAGCAUAUAUAAGUUGGUAAAACGCUGUCCUUUGUUCCUGCUUCCCGCUUCUCAUUGGUUGUAUCAUUGGCAGUCAUGCCCUACUCGUUCUAUGAUCUACCUGCUGAGCAGAAGAUGUUGUCCAUUUGCACAAGUCGCCAUCCUAAGCAACUUUGGACUGGACGCUCCUUCAGAAUGCCCUCUUCUAGUUCAUCAGAGUGGGCGCACAUGCAUUUGCUGAUCCUCACGCUAAGGAAUUUAUGCCGAUGCUUCCCAUGAAGAUCACAAUUAUCAUCACAGGAAAUGACUUGUGCUCAUUUGACUUGAGGCUGAACAAGAUUUAUUGCAUCUCUCUGGUUCUUCAAGAAUGCAUGGACCAAAAUCAGGUUCGCAUAGAAAUUUCCAGAGAAACCUUGCUCCUAUUAAGAAACUGACAGUCAAAUAGGCCAGUGCUUGGUUUAAUAAUUCUAAUGACCAAUCAAGCACGAGAAGCACGACAAAUUUUGGGGGUGAUGUUAUUGAUGUGUAGAAUAGCAACACCCCAUUUGAAUGUUGAAGAGUGACCUCCUUUAAGUCAUCGGCGCCAUCCAUCUUUAAAUCAUCAGUCAGCCAUUUCAACGGCGUCCAACGAUCAAACUAUGGAUGAGGCAUCAAAGUCGUAAGAUGGAGAGACGAGACGGGAAAUCCUUUCACGCUGGCUCAUUGGUCGAGGACUCUGAAAAAUCAACCUGAGACUGUGCGCACAUGUAGGAGAGAUCAAAAUAAGAGCUCGACAAGUCAACAAUAUGCUUGUGAUGUGCAAGCAAGAAGCAAAGAAACCGAUUGGGAGAGAGCGUGCCAUAGCAAACGCGAGAAGCCGGAGGUGCUGGAUGUUGUGUUGCACCGUGAAAUGAAAUAGAAAGAGUAAUCGAUGUUUGGUGAAAAUCAUAAGCAGUAGUAGCCUCUGCUCUGUAAUUUCUGUUCAAUGAGUUGUGAACGGCACUUUAUGCUUUGUUGCAAUUAAGGAGUAGUAAUCUGAACUCUCUGCUCCAAUUAUAUCCUUGCUCUCAUUCCAGUCCUUU